CCCCAACAACACCCGGAGGGGACCCCAACACCCCCAGAGACUCCAACAACACCCCGAGGGACACCAACAACACCCGGAGGACCCCAACAACACCCGGAGGGACCCCAGCAACACCUGGAGGUGUCACCAACAACACCCGGAGGGGACCCCAACAACACCCAGAGGACCCCAACAACAACCCCAGGGUCCCCAACAACACCCCGAGGGACCCCAAGGAACCCCAACAACACCCUGAGGGAUCCCAACAACACCCCGAGGGACCCCAAUACCCCCAGAGACUCCAACAACACCCCGAGGGAUCCCAGCAACACCUGGAGGUGUCACCAACAACACCCGGAUGGACCCCAACAACACCACGAGGGACCCCAACAACGACCCCGGGGACCCCAACAACACCCCGAGGGACCCCAAUACCCUGAGGGACCCCAGCAACACCUGGAGGACCCCAACAACAACCCCAGGGUCCCUCCCCAACAACACCCCCAGGGUCCCCAACAACACCCCCAGGGACCCCAAUACCCGGAGGGACUCCAGCAACACCUGGAGGACCCCAACAACACCCGGAGGGACCCCAAAAACACCUGGAGGUGUCACCAACAACACCUGGAGAACCCCAACAACACCCGGAAGGACCCCAACACCCCCAGGGAUCCCAACAACAACUCCAGGGUCCCCAACAACACCUGGAGGACCCCAACAACACCCGGAGGGGUCCCCAACACCCGGAGGUGGCCCCAACAACACCUGGAGGACCCCAACAACACCCUGAAGGUCCCCAACAACACCCGGAGGGACCCCAACAACACCCAGAGAGGUCCCCAACACCCGGAGGGGUCCCCAACACCCACAACUGUCCCCACCAACACCCGGAGGGGUCCCCCACAACACCCGGAGGGGUCCCCAACACCGUCACCAACACCCGGAGCUGUGAUUGUCCGCAGAGCGCCCCAUAGAGCCCCAUAACCACCCCAUAGGGCCCCAUAGCCACCCCAUAGCUCCCCACAGUGCCCCAUAGCCACCCCAUAGGGCCCCAUAAGCACCCCAUAUGGACUUGUAUCCACCCCAUAGCACCCCACAGCGCCUUAUAACCACCCUAUACCCAUCCCAUAGUGCCCCACAGUGCCCCAUAGCACCCCACAGUGCCCCAUAACCACCCCAUAGGGCCCCAUACCCACCACAUACCGCCCCACAGUGCUCCAUAAGCACCCCAUAGAGCCCCAUAUCCACCCCAUAGCGCCUCACAGCGCCCCAUAACCACCCCAUAGCGCCCCACAGCGCCCCAUAUCCACCCCAUAGCACUCCACAGUGCCCCAUAACCACCCCAUAGGGCCCCAUUCCCACCCCACAGGGCCCCACAGCGCCCCGCAGUGCCCCAUAACCACCCCAUAUGCACCCCGUAUCCACCCCAUAGCGCCCCACAGUGCUCCAUUCCCACCCCAUAGUGCCCCACAGCACCCCAUAACCACCCCAUAUGCACCCCAUAGCGCCCCAUAGCGCCCCACAGGCGGAGCUCUGAUGGUCCCCCACCACCCCCGGCCGUGGCUGUUGUGACACCCCAAUAAAGACUGAACUGAA
ensembl:lncRNA